rnacentral:lncRNA from 1 species
UGAACUUUGAACUCUUAUUCACUACAGAAGUGAUACCUCCUAGCCGUUGAGUUAGCAGCGGCAGCUGUAAACGUGGGCUAGGAAAGGACGGACGACGGAUCCAGUCUAACACCCAACGACGAUACUACAACGUAUCCAAUUUACCACCAGAGACAUUCUUCCGAGGACAGGAAGAUCUCUGUUGGGCAACACGGCCUUCCAUCUACAACCAACCUAACCAUUCUGUUGUUGGGGUACGCCCCACACCAUUCUGUUGUUGGGGUACGACCCACACCAUUCUGUUGUUGGGGUACGACCCACACCAUUCUGUUGUUGGGGUACGCCCACACCAUUCUGUUGUUGGGGAUACGCCCACACCAUUCUGUUGUGGGGUACGCCCCACACCAUUCUGUUGUUGGGGUACGACCCACCCAUUCUGUUGUUGGGGUACCGACCCACACCAUUCUGUUGUUGGGGUACGCCCCACACCAUUCUGUUGUUGGGGUACGCCCACACCAUUCUGUUGUUGGGGUAAGCCCCACACCAUUCUGUUGUUGGGUACGACCCACACCAUUCUGUUGUUGGGGUACGACCCACACCAUUCUGUUUUUUGGGGUACGACCCACCCCUUCUGUUGUUGGGGUACGACCCACACCAUUCUGUGUUGGGGUACGACCCACACCCAUUCUGUUGUUGGGGUACGACCCACACCAUUCUGUUUUGGGGUACGCCCCACACCAUUCUGUUGUUGGGGUACGCCCCACACCAUUCUGUUGUUGGGUACGACCCACACCAUUCUGUUGUUGGGGUACGACCCACACCAUUCUGUUGUUGGGGUACGACCCACACACUUCUGUUGUUGGGUACGACCCCACCAUUCGUUUGUGGGUACGCCCACACCAUUCUGUUUUUGGGUACGACCCACCCAUUCUGUGUUGGGGUACGACCCACACCAUCUGUUGUUGGGUACGACCCACACCCAUUCUGUUGUUGGGGUACGACCCACACCAUUCUGUUGUUGGGGUACGCCCCACACCAUUCUGUUGUUGGGGUACGCCCCACACCAUUUGUUGUUGGGUACGACCCCACCAUUCUUGUUGGGGUACGACCCACACCAUUCUGUUGUUGGGGUACGCCCCACACCAUUCUGUUGUGGGGUACGCCCCACACCAUUCUGUUGUUGGGGUACGACCACACCUUCUGUGGUGGGGUACGACCCACACCAUUCUGUUGUUGGGGUACGACCCACACAACACACAC